GUUUAUUCCCAAAGAUAAUUGAAGCAGAUAUUAAUGCUUGCAAUCCUCUUCCAUGGGUUGUUGGUUUGGCUUUUCUGUUAUAUUU